AUCGAACCCGGAGAUAGCUGGUUCUCCUCGAAAUAGCUUUAGGGCUAGCCUCGAUUUAGUCUUAUGGAGGUAGAGCACUGAAUUUCCGCGGGGGCGUCAAAGCUUACCAAAGAAUAUCAAACUCCGAAUGCCAUGUAGAUGAUGAUCGGGAGUCAGACUGCACGAGAUAAGUUGGGCAGUCAAAAGGGAAAGAGCCCAGACCACCGGCUAAGGUCCCAAAGUGCGUGUUAAGUGGAAAAGGAUGUGGGAAUUCGAAGACAACUAGGAUGUUGGCUCAGAAGCAGCCAUACAUUCAAAGAGUGCGUAACAGCUCACUAGUCGAGAGUUCCUGCGCCGAAAAUGUCCGGGGCUGAAACACGACACCGAAGCCGUGGACUCGCAAUGCGAGUGGUAGAGGAGCAUUCUUAAGACCGACGAAGCUGUACCGAAAGGAGCAGUGGAGGGAUAAGAAGAGAGAAUGCCGGAAUGAGUAGCGAGAGAAAGGUGGGAAUCCUUUCGGCCGAAUAUCUAAGGUUUCCAGAGUAAAGCUGAUCUGCUCUGGGUAAGUCGGGGCCUAAGCACAGGUCGCAAGACGUAAGCGAUGGAUAACAGGUUUAGAUUCCUGUACCACGCAUUAUCAGAACUGUAGGGACGCAUGUGGAAAGCACGAGCCGGGAAUGGAAAGACCGGUACAAGCGGGGUAGGAGUACAAUAGGCAAAUCCGUUGUAUGAUCCGAAGACGUGAUGUGGAGCGAAAUAAAGUAGUGAAGCGUGUGAGCCAUGUGCCGAGAAAAGCUGCUAUUGUGUAAUGCGUGCCCGUACCGUAAACCGACACAGGUGGAUGAGGAGAGAAUCCUAAGGCCGACGGAAGAAGCAUUGUUAAGGAAUUCGGCAAAAUGACCCCGUAACUUCGGGAGAAGGGGUGCCUGCGAGAGCAGGCCGCAGAGAAUAGGCUCAAGCAACUGUUUAGCAAAAACACAGGUCUAUGCGAAACCGAAAGGUGAAGUAUAUGGGCUGACGCCUGCCCGGUGCUGGAAGGUUAAGAGGAGAGGUUAGCGUAAGCGAAGCUUUGAAUUUAAGCCCCAGUAAACGGCGGCCGUAACUAUAACGGUCCUAAGGUAGCGAAAUUCCUUGUCGGGUAAGUUCCGACCCGCACGAAAGGCGUAAUGAUUUGAGCGCUGUCUCGACAAUGCAUCCGGUGAAAUUGAAGUACCAGUGAAGAUGCUGGUUACCCGCGCCAGGACGGAAAGACCCCAUGGAGCUUUACUCCAGUUUGAUACUGGGAUUCGGUACUGCAUGUACAGGAUAGGUGGGAGACGAAGAAGGAUGGACGCCAGUCUGUCCGGAGUCGCUGUUGGGAUACCACCCCUGUAGUACUGGGUUUCUAACCAGUUACCAUGAUCUGGUAAUGGGACAAUGUCAGGCGGGGAGUUUGACUGGGGCGGUCGCCUCCGAAAGGGUAUCGGAGGCGCUCAAAGGUUCCCUCAGAAUGGUUGGAAACCAUUUGAAGAGUGCAAAGGCAGAAGGGAGCUUGACUGCGACACCGACGGGUGGAGCAGGU
rnacentral:rRNA from 1 species